GACGAACGCUGGCGGCGUGCUUAACACAUGCAAGUCGAACGGUAAGGCCCUUCGGGGUACACGAGUGGCGAACGGGUGAGUAACACGUGGGUGAUCUGCCCUGCACUUCGGGACAAGCCUGGGAAACUGGGUCUAAUACCGGAUAGGACUCCGGACUGCAUGGUCUGGGGUGGAAAGCUUUUGCGGUGUGGGAUGGGCCCGCGGCCUAUCAGCUUGUUGGUGGGGUGAUGGCCUACCAAGGCGACGACGGGUAGCCGGCCUGGGAGGGUGACCGGCCACACUGGGACUGAGAUACGGCCCAGACCCCUACGGGAGGCAGCAGUGGGGAAUAUUGCACAAUGGGCGCAAGCCUGAUGCAGCGACGCCGCGUGAGGGAUGACGGCCUUCGGGUUGUAAACCUCUUUCAGCAUCGACGAAGCGAAAGUGACGGUAGGUGCAGAAGAAGGACCGGCCAACUACGUGCCAGCCGCCGCGGUAA
rnacentral:rRNA from 1 species